rfam:Punica granatum cultivar Dabenzi scaffold7, whole genome shotgun sequence.
UAUGAAGGCGAUGAUGUCUUUAUGUGCGAGUAUGAAUAUGACAUACACUGGCACAGUUUCAAGUGUAUCGCUGAGAUU